CACGUAGAAGACUAGUGUUAUUCAUCUUUAUUAGGUUUAAAGGGUACCUAGACGGAAAAUCAAGCCAUAAUGGGGACUAAUUUUCUAGAGUUUUUAUGUGAGAAGGGGCGAAUUUCCGGAGGAAAGUUGAUAUUUUGUGAUACUGGAAGGACGGGUAACGGCGAAGGCAACCUUUUAUGUAAAAAACUGACGUUGAGGGACGAAGCCUUGGGUAACGAGAAGG
rnacentral:rRNA from 1 species